rnacentral:tRNA from 1 species
UCCGCCCUGGUGUAACGGCAGCACGCAGGCCUUUGGUGCCUUGAGAUCCGGGUUCGAAUCCUGGGGGCGGAACCA